CUUUAUCCAGGUUGCCACUGUGCCUUUUAAUUGGGGCAUUUAGCCUGCUUACAGUCAAGGACUCAGUGACCUUUGAGGAUGUGGCUGUGAACUUCACCCAGGAGGAGUGGGCUUUGCUGGGUCCUUCUGAGAAGAAUCUCUACAGAGAUGUGAUGCGGGAAACCUUCAGGAACCUGAUGUCUGUGGGUCACCAGUCCUGAUCCUGAGGUUACCUCAGCACAACUUCAGACCCUUGAACUCUGAAGUACCCUCAGCCUGAGCCAGCACACAGCCUCUCCUUCACCACCCUGCGAAGAACAGGCUGAAGGCAGGGUAAAACACACUCUGAUCUAGGAUGUGAUUUUCACUCUCCAUCCUGCCCUCCCCCUCCUACCUUGUUUGUUCUUCUGUUGGAAAGAAAAAACACUUUUCUGCCCAGUCUUUGAGAUGUUUGCUUAUCUUAUGCUUGGUGCUUCUCCCUUUCCCUCUUUGCAUUCCUUUCGAAUGAAGUCAUUUCUUCUAAAUCCCAAUUUAUUAUCCCUGAGAAUGUCUAGCAACAGCCUUGCAUCAGUAACAAAUACAGCCUCAGACAGGGCAUCACCCCAACUGCUCUGCCUGUGGAAUUUCAGCCCUUUUCAGUACAAAGGGCUUCUCUCGUGGUCAGCGUGAUCAGGCUGGGACACCUGCAGAGGCUUCCAGAAGAACCAACUGAACUAGGCCUUCAGUGAUAUUUUUUGUGCUCACAACUGGCCUUAGCUUGGAGUCACUGGCCUCAGGUCUCUGCCCCUCAAGGCUGGUCAUUUACCCUUUUAUGCCUUACAUGGAUAUUUAAAAACAAAAUAUCAUCUGGGCAUGGUGGCUUACACCUGUAAUCCCAGUGCUUUGGGAGGCUGAUGUGGGAGGAUCAUUUGAGGCCAGGAGUUCAGUGGGCAA